rnacentral:rRNA from 1 species
AUACGUAGGGGGCAAGCGUUAUCCGGAUUUACUGGGUGUAAAGGGAGCGUAGACGGAAGGCCAAGUCUGAUGUGAAAGCCCGCGGCUCAACUGCGGGACUGCAUUGGAAACUGGUCAUCUGGAGUGCAGGAGGGGUAAGCGGAAUUCCUAGUGUAGCGGUGAAAUGCGUAGAGAUUAGGAGGAACACCAAUCGCGAAGGCAGCAUACGAGGCAUCAUCUGACGCUGAUGCACGAAAGCGUGGGGAUCAAACAGGAUUAGAUACUCUGGUAGUCCACGCUGUAAACGAUGAAUACUAGGUGUGGGGGGACUGACCCCUUCCGUGCCGGAGUAAACACAAUAAGUAUUCCACCUGGGGAGUACGGCCGCAAGGUUGAAACUCAAAUGAAUUGGCGGGG